UAACCACGUAUUUGUGAAGAUGGCGGCCUCUGUUCAGGUAAGACGACAAAGGUAAGACGACGAUCACCCACCCUCAUCAAGCACCGACUUUCGUCGCCACCACUCACACGACCCAUCUCCGUCUCCGGUCACCCACCACCGUACUCCUUCUCCACCCUGAACCCCAAUCGCCGUACAAGGACGUAUUUCCGGUGGUCGUCUCUGGCGGUGGAACGGUCGCAUCAAUCACUGGGUUUGAAGAGGGGUUAUCGCAUACAUGGUCAGCCUAGGGUUAGGAUGAAGAUGCAGUGAGAUGACGGCACAGCUUCUUACAGACCAACUGAAGAUUUCAAACGUCCUUAAAGAGCAGCCCUUCAUUAGCCUUUUCAGUAUCUCAGAGUUAAAAACAGGUUUUAAUGUUUUAAUUCGUUAAUGUUGCUCCCAAAAAGAGUUUGUGUUUCUUUGUUUAAUCACCGGUGGUUACAUACAUGCUAAUUUAAUUCAAAAUUGAACUAUAAUAUUCACCAAAAACAGAUUGACCAGGUGGUAGCACAUUAAUGGUGGCGAGCAACUGACUUGCAAUAGGAACUUUCUUAUCGUCGUUCCUGUAGCGUUGUAAGUUCUCUUAGUUUAAGUUUAUACCAUCAUUACUAUCUUUUGAUAUCAUUGCAUUUGAAGUUUAUAACUGUUAGUUAUGACCUGUAAGUCUCUCUUGGAAAAGAAACUAUGCAAAUAACGCUGGACCCAACUUUUGACACUAAAAAAAUGCUAAAAGUAUCCUUGAUGCAGGACUGGUCAUUAUAAGAUAAUAGAUUUGGAUGUAUCUAUAACUAGCAAAAUAAGUGGGGUAACGCCGUAACGGGAUCAGAAUGGGUUCGGGGUUUGGGUCAAACCUAAUAUGAAAUUCGUGGGUUUGGGUUUGGUAUAAACGGUUUCGGGUCAGUUUCAGCCGAACCCGCUUAGCUAAACGGUUCGUGUUUGGGUCGAAUCCGACAGGGUCAAGGAGAAGGAUCUGUUGGUGCUUAUCUUGAUAUGAAUGGAAACAGGGUGUCUACUCCAGCCGAUGCAUUAAUCCUCACCUUGUGUCCCCGGAGGAAAGGCCAGUUUUAAAUGGCUUGACAUCAUUCCCAGAAUCAGAGACUUCGCCAAGAAGCAAUUCCGGUAGCAACGGUAUUGUUCAGCCACGGUUUGCUCGCGCUUCCUCUUUAGGAGUGGCUUUGCAUAAGGAAAUAGUAGCGGCUCUUGCUGACUUGUUAUAUAAUGAUGAAAAUUAAGUCUCAUCGAUGUUGCUGAUAUUGAACAAAUUCUAAACCAAUCCGAGAUGACAACGCAAGUUUUUCUGCAAGCAGUCCGGUAUCUUGCUCAAUCCAUGCUUGAAAAUAUUGAGUAUAUAAUCCAGGUGAUCGAGUCUGUACAGCACUUGUCAACAAACACCAUGGAAGCUCUAAAAGGGCUUCGAAAGAUUAGUAACAUUUUAUCGGAGAUGUGAGGUGAUUUUCUUCUUUAUAAUACAUAAACUGUAAUUAUGAUUUUUGGGAGUGGAUGGCACUCUUGUAAUUUAGGUUAACAGCUUCCGGUUAGCUUGUAAAUGUAAAUAUAUACAUGUAUCAUAUUAUUUGAGUGACAAACUGAUUUUCAUAAUGUUAUAAUCUCAUGUAAUUGUAUACUAACUUCUAAAGGCUUUUGAUUGCCAAAUUAAAUACAUGAACUUUAUUUAGUGA